rnacentral:rRNA from 1 species
AUUGAACGCUGGCGGCAUGCUUUACACACGCAAGUCGAACGGCAGCGCGGGCUUCGGCCUGGCGGCGAGUGGCGAACGGGUGAGUAAUACAUCGGAACGUGCCCAGUAGUGGGGGAUAGCUCGGCGAAAGCCGGAUUAAUACCGCAUACGACCUGAGGGUGAAAGCGGGGGAUCUUCGGACCUCGCGCUAUUGGAGCGGCCGAUGGCAGAUUAGCUAGUUGGUGGGGUAAAGGCCUACCAAGGCGACGAUCUGUAGCUGGUCUGAGAGGACGACCAGCCACACUGGGACUGAGACACGGCCCAGACUCCUACGGGAGGCAGCAGUGGGGAAUUUUGGACAAUGGGCGAAAGCCUGAUCCAGCAAUGCCGCGUGUGUGAUGAAGGCCUUCGGGUUGUAAAGCACUUUCGGCGGGAACGAAAAGGACUGUGCCAAUACCACGGUUCGAUGACGGUACCCGCAGAAUAAGCACCGGCUAACUACGUG